rnacentral:lncRNA from 1 species
GCGGCGACUUGGCGGCGGGUGCCAUGCGUCUGGAGCUUCACAUUCUCUGCCCCCCACCCACCGCGCCGGCGCUCCCUUGUCACGCCUCGGGAAGCGCGCACCUGCCAAGCAGACAAGGUCACUCUGUCGCCGGAGGGCAGUGGCAUGAUCAUAGGUCACUGUAACCUGGAACUCCUGGGUUCAGGCAAUCUUCCCACUUCAGCUUCCUGAGUAGCUAGAAUUACAGACAGGUUUCACUAUGUUACCCAGGCUGAUCUCGAACUCCCGUACUCAAGCAACUCCCCACCUCAGCCUCCCAAAGUGCUGGGAUUACAGACGUGAGCCACAGCGCCGGGCCCCAAAAUCUAUUUUAAAUGUAAAGAAACCCAAAAGUAACAGUUUUGUAAAAGAAAAUUCACGUACUGUUUUGUAGUAAAUUCUAAACACUGUG